rnacentral:tRNA from 1 species
GGAUGUAGCGCAGUUGGUAGCGCGCGUGGUUUGGGACCACGAUGUCGCAGGUUCGAAUCCUGUCAUU